rnacentral:misc_RNA from 1 species
AAGUCGUAACAAGGUUUCCGUAGGUGAACCUGCGGAAGGAUCAUUAUCGAGUUAGGGUCUUUUAGGCCCCACCUCCAACCCUGUGUCUAAAUUACCAUGUUGCUUUGGCGGGCCCGCCUCUCGGGGCCGCUGGGGACUUUACUGCCCCUGGCCAGCGCCCGCCAGUAGCCUUAUUUAAUCUCUUUAUAAUUUACGUCGUCUGAGUAUAAAUUUAAAUCGUUAAAAUC